rnacentral:tRNA from 1 species
AAGGGAGACCUAAUUCAGGUAGGAGACGAAAAAAAAGUAGUCGCUACCAAGAAUCAAUCCCAAAAGGUCGGAGCGAGGCGAAAUUGGCUUUCAAACUAGGUUCUGGGUUCACACAAGACCUGAAUCAGGAACAAGGGCUAUUAGCUCAGGUGGUUAGAGCGCACCCCUGAUAAGGGUGAGGUCCCUGGUUCGAGUCCAGGAUGGCCCACCUGUACAGGUGGCAAAAAGAAAGAAAAGAAGCGAGGAAUCAGCACCUUAUCUUACUGACAUAGUAAGAGAGAAUGCUGGCUCUGAGUAAAGAGUCCAGAGGAACCUUGAAAACUGCAUAGGGCUAGGUGAAAAAGCCAAAAAAGAAGACCGCAA